rnacentral:rRNA from 1 species
UGGGGAAUUUUGGACAAUGGGCGAAAGCCUGAUCCAGCAAUGCCGCGUGUGUGAAGAAGGCCUUCGGGUUGUAAAGCACUUUUGUCCGGAAAGAAAUCCUCUGGGUUAAUACCUCGGGGGGAUGACGGUACCGGAAGAAUAAGCACCGGCUAACUACGUGCCAGCAGCCGCGGUAAUACGUAGGGAGCAAGCGUUGUUCGGAUUUACUGGGCGUAAAGGGCGCGUAGGCGGCGCGGUAAGUCACUUGUGAAAUCUCUGAGCUUAACGCAGAACGGCCAAGUGAUACUGCUGUGCUAGAGUGCGGAAGAGGCAACCGGAAUUCUUGGUGUAGCGGUGAAAUGCGUAGAUAGCAAGAGGAACACCUGAGGCGAAGGCGGGUUGCUGGGCCGACACUGACGCUGAUGCGCGAAAGCCAGGGGAGCAAACG